rnacentral:rRNA from 1 species
AUUGAACGCUGGCGGCAUGCCUUACACAUGCAAGUCGGACGGCAGCGCGGGAGCAAUCCUGGCGGCGAGUGGCGAACGGGUGAGUAAUACAUCGGAACAUGUCCAGUAGUGGGGGAUAGCCCGGCGAAAGCCGGAUUAAUACCGCAUACGAUCUAUGGAUGAAAGCGGGGGAUCGCAAGACCUCGCGCUAUUGGGGUGGCCGAUGGCGGAUUAGCUAGUUGGUGGGGUAAAGGCCUACCAAGGCGACGAUCCGUAGCUGGUCUGAGAGGACGACCAGCCACACUGGGACUGAGACACGGCCCAGACUCCUACGGGAGGCAGCAGUGGGGAAUUUUGGACAAUGGGGGCAACCCUGAUCCAGCAAUGCCGCGUGUGUGAAGAAGGCCUUCGGGUUGUAAAGCACUUUUGUCCGGGAAGAAAUCCCCUGCCCUAAUACGGCGGGGGG